UACGUAGGGGGCUAGCGUUGUCCGGAAUCAUUGGGCGUAAAGCGCGUGUAGGCGGUCCGGUAAGUCCGCUGUGAAAGUCGGGGCUCAACCUCGGAUGCCGGUGGAUACUGUCGGGCUUGAGUACGGAAGAGGCGAGUGGAAUUCCUGGUGUAGCGGUGAAAUGCGCAGAUAUCAGGAGGAACACCAAUUGCGAAGGCAGCUCGCUGGGACGUUACUGACGCUGAGACGCGAAGCGUG
rnacentral:rRNA from 1 species